rnacentral:tRNA from 1 species
AUGUAUUAAUAGGGGUUUUGAAAGCCUCAAAAGGUAGACUCUACCAGUACAUG